GUCCAGACUCAUCUUAAGCAGGUAUAAUUUUGCUGGAAUUGUUUUAAAUUCUAUUUGGUACCUGAGAAAAUUUCGUUUUAUUAGGGAUCUUUUGCUUUGGUUUACAUCAGUUAUAGAGAUACAUAUCAUUUAUAAAUUCUAGAAAAUUUCGUUUGAUGCGGAUCUAACAGAGAGCUGAAUAUACAGCGGACCCAAACUAGUUUGGGAUUAAGGUGUUUUUGUUUUUCGUUUGUGAGGUUUUCCCUUCUGUGGAAACGAUAAGAAAAAGGACAUUAUCAUUGCAUUAAGGUAAAUUUGCUGUAGAUGUGAUUACGAAUAGGGUCUUAGUUGAAUUAUUAGUUUGAAGUGGUUGUAUCUUUUGAAUUAUGUUUGGUUUUAGGGAAGAAUUUUAGGUAUGCUUAUCGUCACAGGGAUUCCGUAAUAUCUGACUGUGGUAAUCUUUAUAUUUGUUGCAUCCGGCCUUUUAGUUAUGGUUGAAAGCGAUGUGAUUUUUUGUUUGUUUAACAAUGAUAGAGAAAAUUGUAAGAGGAAAGAAAUUGAAGUUUGAUGGUAUAUAUGUGUUGAAGUAGACGAGUCGACAUCUCAAUAACUUACUGAAUUUGUUUAUGUUAAUGAAUGAUUUUGUUUUUGUUAACGUUUUUUGGUUUUGCUAUGUCUUGCACGAGUCUUUUCUCUAUUUGUUCUUAUUCUAUGUUUUUACAUCUCAAAGGUACUUACCCUACGUUUGAUAGGGCAUAUAUACGUUUUUACAUUGCAUUUGCAUAUAUUUUGAUAGCUGGUCUCACCACCUUCAACUUCUUA
rnacentral:misc_RNA from 1 species